UAAAAUAGAAUAUUUUUUUAUGAAAUUGGCAUUUGAUAACGAUCAUAAUCCGAUAAAUCUUCAAUAUAAAUGUUGCCGCUUUGUAAAUAUCGCCAGUUAUAGAUUCAAUAACCAUUGAUUGCGCAUCGACUGUGAUCAAGAGUAUUAUUAGUACCUAUCAAUCGCUUUUUAAUACUUAUUACUACAUAAAUACUAUAACAAUGAACCGUCCAAACAAUAUGCCUGGAGCUUUCACCGUCCAAGGAUACUCUAUCGCACCAAACCCCUGCUUUGGACCAAGCAGAUGCUCAGUCAACCCACAUUUUGGGGUACCUGCCAAUCCAUCACCACACUACAACACUUGCUUCGUCUCUGCAUCCUCACUUAGGAAAGCGUACCCACAGAUGACUCAACCUAGACAUAAUUGUUUUAAGUAAUUUGCCUCGAUGAAGGUUAUGUUGAAUCUCGAUUUUUGGAAUAUAUUAGGUAUAUAUAUACAUAAGUAUGUUAAGUUUUUACUAAUUUCUAAGAUAUAUAAUAAACCUAUUAACUCUUA